UUCUGCCUCGGUCUGAAGUUGUGGCAAAGUUUCAGAGGCGCUCGCAGGGCAUCGCCGAGAGGGGCUGGGAGCCGCUCAGGGCGCUGCACAUGGAGUGGAUGUUUUCAGAGACCUACACUCCACGCUCUCUCUCUCGAGCGGGUAAAUGAGAUGCCUUCGCAGGGCUUGGUUUUCUGAGGAAAUCUGAAAAUGCAACACUGUGGCCGGGACUUCCUGAUCCGGCCCCUGCAUUGCAGCCCCCAGCUCCACCAGAUUGGACACGCUCAGCCGCCAAACAGAGUCCCCAAUGCAUGACAGCAUCCCCCGCUGUGCUUACAGUCCUUGACUCACUAGGACAUAUGCCCAGGCUUACCUGCUUGCCUGAGUCAGGGCCUAUGGUGCUGUGAGGCAGGCAAAGACUGCAAUGAACUGGCUGGGAGGCACAGGCCUCCGCCGCCUGGCCUUCCCCCAGGGGAAGGAGAGCAGAGACGUGCAGCCGCCGGAGGGGCUGGCCCCUCGUGAAAAGGGCUCACCCGGGACGACCAUGCAGCCCCGCAUCGAUCCCCCAGGCUGUCGGCGAGCCCCUUUGGGGGCUACACACCAGCAGCGGGGAAAUGCCAUCAGGAGGGGGAAAUACGCUGAGAUUUGAAACUGACAAGAGAGUCUGGUCCAGGCCAGGCGGCUGCCAGAGCUGGGAAUGGUGGAAUUGACAAGGCGAGAGGGGAAGGUUUCUUGCUAUGGAUGCUGCAGAGCUCCAUCCCUGACCUUUCUUCCUUCUCUGUGCAUUAUCCUCCCUUCCUCGAGUCGUGGCUCAGCCUCUCCCUCUGCCCCUUUCCAUCUCCUCUGCCCUGCUCCAGCUCCCUUCACGGGCUCACUCAUCCCGUUUUCCAGCCUCCCUGCCUCUCUGAUUUGACUCGCAAAGAGAGACAUCACUGGAGCCAGGCCUGGCUCCUGAGCUCUCAGUCUCCUGCUCUCUCUCCCCCGCCUCCUCAGCCGCACCCCGGAAAGUCCCCUUCCCCUUGCCCCUGCUGAAAUCCUCAUGCCCGUCUUAGCCCGGCUGCAGUUCUCCGCCACUGCGAAAUUGAGGGCAACCUGCCUCCUUUGCUGGCUUUCAGCCCAGGGUUUAACAGAAGGCGGACGGGGAACCCUCCACAUUGUACGGGUGGUACAGAAAGAGCCCCCGUCCUGUGUCUGGGCGGAUUCAUUCCCGAAGUCCAUGCAGUAGCACCCCGGGGGGCUCUGCUCUCCUGCCAUGUGGUUCUCUGGCGCAACGAGAGGGGGGGUUUGCUUUGACAGCCCCAGCUCCACCCCCUCCUGCGCAUCCCUGACUGUCUGCACCCUGCCCGGCGCUCUCGCAGGCCUUGGGAGGCGGGCCAGUCCUCGCCUCCAGACAGCCCCGCAACCUGAGAUGAACACGCCCCAGCAGCACAGACACACUCGCCCGGGACCCCACCCCUGCCACAAACCCCGGUGCCAACUCUGUGCACAUCUACACAAGCGACGCCAUCACAGGCCCUACCCACAUCAGGGGCUCAUCCGCCUGCACGUCCACUAACGUGAUCUAUGCCAGCCAUGCCCCUCUGCCACAUUGGCCAGAGCGGCCUGUCUCUGCGCCACAGGGACACACGUCAGCCAGCAGGAACGGUACCACACACAGACCUGCCCGGAACAUUUUAACCUCCCUGGACAUUGAGUGAUGGAUUUCCAAGUAGCCAUCCUCCUACACACACACUUCAAUGCCUGAAAACCGAGAAACGGCAGAGCUGCAACUGACUUGCAGAUUAAACUCGCCCAAGCGAGGACCGAAUAAGGACGCAGAACGGUUCCCUCACGACAAAAGGGAGUCCGCAUCCCCCCUGACUCAACCGGCCUUAACACUGGCCCUGCACGUGACAAGUUACUCCCGUCUUUGGACAUACUAGUUGGGACGGGGCCUCGGCCCCACACUGGGUUGAGAAGGGUUAAAUCCAGCCCUGGGAGAGGGCGGGGCUAAGGAGCCAGGAGCUGUGGUAGCAGCCAAUCAGGGCCCAGCUGAGGGCUGUAUAAAUAAGGGCUCCUGGGCAGAGAAGACUCACUCCAGCUUGCUCUUGCGGUGGAGCAGGAGGGACCUGGCUGUUUGGGAAGCUGGAGGGUUCCUGAUACAGAAUGGGGCUGGGGAAAGGCAGGCAGGGCUGGGGAGCUGAGGCCUUGCUCUGGAGGCCUGAGGUACUGAGGCUCCGGGGAGGCAGGCGAAGGCAGCGGGUCCACCCUGCUUUGCCAAGGAUGAGUGGUCCCGUCAGACGGCCGUUUGCCCCUGCAGUGACCGAUUCCAAGAGCCCCUCCUGGCUAGCUGCUAUUGACAGCCCUAGACGCCCUAUUGGGAGCGAGGGAGGGGCCGGCUGGGGGCACGCU